GGCAUGUUCCAUAUAUGCUGAACUGGCACAACAAUCCUAUUAUACUCUGCUCAGAUUAAGUCUGUUCAUUUCGGACAUUAAAUGUAUGAUGCUAAGCUAAUAAUUAUAUUCAUUUAUUUUCCUCCUUUCUAUUUAUUUCCUGGCAAAGUUUAGCAUUUGUUUGCUUAGUUUGUGAUGUGAGUUUAUAAUCUUUGAUUACAUCAUGUUUCCUUUAGUUUCACAAUUUUUGAGCUUCACUUUUAUUACAGAGAAGAUUCACUUAGUUUCCUCAUUUAGACUUUAUCAGAUAUGUUUUGCAUAUGAACAAGAUAAAUUGGUAGAAUACAAUAUCAGUGCUAUAUCAUAUUCUAUCACAAUAAAAUCUCACUGUUGUAGAUUCUUUGGAAGGGGAACAGAAUGGAAGACAUCAAGAGGACUCCCAGGCUGAACUGAUAGAAAAACUAAUAGGACAAGCAUGAAAGACAGGCACUUCAAGAAGAUAAUUGAGCACUUAGAGAUGGUAAUCAAGUCCUUCAUGAAGAAAAUCGGAAGGUUAACAAUCAUGUGAGCCGAAUGGAAGAAGAGUGGGCACAAAUAAAGAAGUGUGAGUGCUAAUUGUAGCCAACAUGAAUAGCCAGUAUCUGGUAGGGAUCAGGAUGGAGAAGAUUAUUAGAAGCAAGACAAGUGAAUGGUUAUUGAGGAGGCCUCUUGCUGCUAGGAUUAGCCUUAAGUUAGUCUCUGCUAGUUUCUGUCUUGGACAGAUUGUUUUUUCUCUUUCAGAAAGAAACAUCUUCAAGUACUGUGAUUUACAAUUAUGUUUGUUUUUGUAAAUUUAUUUAUUUUACUUGCAUUCUCCUUUUAAAAGGUAUGUGGUCGUUGCACGUGGUACAAAGUGGUGCCAAUGUAAAAACAUUACCUAUACCAAUGUGGUUGCUAAAGUUGUUGAAGUGGUCGUUAAUGCUACCUAA